CCUACGGGUGGCAGCAGUGAGGAAUAUUGGUCAAUGGGCGCGAGCCUGAACCAGCCAAGUAGCGUGAAGGAUGACUGCCCUACGGGUUGUAAACUUCUUUUAUAAAGGAAUAAAGUGAGGCACGUGUGCCUUUUUGUAUGUACUUUAUGAAUAAGGAUCGGCUAACUCCGUGCCAGCAGCCGCGGUAAUACGGAGGAUCCAAGCGUUAUCCGGAUUUAUUGGGUUUAAAGGGAGCGUAGGUGGUUUGGUAAGUCAGUUGUGAAAGUUUGCGGCUCAACCGUAAAAUUGCCAUUGAUACUGGCAGGCUUGAGUACAGUUGAGGUAGGCGGAAUGUGUGGUGUAGCGGUGAAAUGCUUAGAGAUCACGAAGAACACCGAUUGCGAAGGCAGCUUACUAAACUGCCACUGACAUUGAUGCUCGAAAGUGUGGGGAUCAAACAGGAUUAGAUACCCCUGUAGUC
rnacentral:rRNA from 1 species